CGGGACGUAGCGAAGCUUGGUAUCGCGUCUGCUUCGGGAGCAGAAGACCGUGAGUUCAAAUCUCACCGUUCCGACCA
rnacentral:tRNA from 1 species